UCUAACGUUACAAAUGUGCCUAAAACUAGCCGCAUGCUAAUGAAGAUUAAUACAAAACUCAAUUCCACAAUUGUAAAAAACAGGGUGUUCUUAUAUCCCAACGUUCUAAUGAACCACCUUAACUGUAGCAGUGGAUUAGUGAUUUCCAUCAAUCCUAAAGCACAAGUAGCUUGAUUGGUUAAUGUGCCCUUUGCCAAUAUCCGCGCCAUAGCAAAACAACUGUAUACGUGAUGGGCGAUCAUUAAUUUUGAUUCCGUUUGGUAAUAUGCGCACCAGAUCAGGUCAAAUAUGAAGUAUCCCAGGCUGAGUAAGAGAAUGGCAAGUUGUGAAUUUGUUCUUGGUUCUUCACAAUUCCGAAAUGCCCAACCAUUGAUGAAACACUGUGAACUUCCAAAUGUCGCCAUAAUGGUAGCAUGACAUAGUGUAGCUAAACGAUUUGCAAACUCCGGUGACUCGUUCUUGUAGGAUUUUCUUAGUGUGAUGUAUAACAAGUACCAGCUCAGUGCCGAAGGGAUUGAUAGUAACAAAAUGAACAUAACUUAGCGAUGUACUACUCAAAUUUUGACAUGAUUGCCGACAUAUUUCAAAUAUGCUGGUGUCAAACGAAAACAAUGGCAAUAAUAAAUGAAUACGUUUCUAAGGCGGCUUUGGAGGGUUUCGUGAACAGUGUCAAUCUUUCUACAAUUGUCACCAAUUGAGUUUAUUCACGAAAUAAUAUUUUAGAACUUCUGGACUCUUAUCUUUCAGCAUGCCUGGUGUUAAACAUACGGAAUCAAAGAUGAAUGUUUCGCUUGGACUCAAAGGUCCGCGGGCAGUAAGCAAGCCACUGGUUUCUGUGGUGUCCGCGAUGCCCACUGCAUCAACUGUAUUGAAAAGUAAACAUCACUGCACUAAAUGCGUCUUGAUGAAACGAUUCUGGAUGGUUUCGGUUAAUAUGUACGACUUCAUGGGAUUAAUCGAUAUUUGUCCGGGCAACACUCUACAUGCAGUUAAACCAUAUGUUAGUUGUAAAAAUUAAUUAAACAUGACGUCAUAGAGUGUAUUUCAUUUUGGAUUUUUCAUUGCAUAAGGUUUCAUAAUUAUAGUAAUUAACAAACUAAGCAAUAACGAGAUAAUAUUUUGUAUUUAGUAUUUUGUAUAUUAGAAAUACAAUCGUUUAUACCGUAAUGGCCCCAACAAAA